AGCAAGGUAACGGUAGGAGAACCUGCGGAAGGAUCAUUAUCGAGUAGGAACUCGAGAGCUGUUGCUGGUGGGGAACGCACAUCGUGCACGGCUCCCGUGCUCAAUCCAUUUCAACCCCCUUGUGCACCUUAUCGAAGUCAGUAGUCUUUCUCUUUUUGUUUGCCGGUUGUGUGUGGGAACCUCUUUCUGUUCACUUGGCCGGCGAGGAGAAAUAGAGGGUCGAAAGCUUUGACUUUUCUAUUAAACACUUUGUAUGUCUUGUGGAACGUAUUAGCUCCUUUGUAGGGGAGAAAUAAAUACAACUUUCAACAACGGAUCUCUUGGCUCUCGCAUCGAUGAAGAACGCAGCGAAAUGCGAUAAGUAAUGUGAAUUGCAGAAUUCAGUGAAUCAUCGAAUCUUUGAACGCACCUUGCGCCCCUUGGUAUUCCGAGGGGCAUGCCUGUUUGAGUGUCAUGUUAAUCUCAAACCCCUUGUCUUUUUUGUUGACUUGGUCGGUUUGGACUUGGAGGUGUUGCUGGCGUGAGUACGCAGUACUAUGUGUCGGCUCCUCUUAAUUGCAUUAGCUGGACUUUGGUUCGCAUUUGACGGUGUAAUAGUAAAGUGUUCGCCGGGCGUGCUUGCCUAACGGGUCUGCUUCUAAUCGUCUUCGGACAACUCUGUUCAUUUUGACCUUGACCUCAAAUCAGGUAGGACUACUCGCUGAACUUAGACGUAUCAAUACUCGGAGGAAAUCACACUAACACUGAGACCCCUAGGAGAUGAGAUUGAAGUUAAAAGAGGUCAAAUUUAAGAUCUCGCAGCUUUAAUCCGUACAAGCUGUUAUCUGGAGAGAC
rnacentral:rRNA from 1 species